rnacentral:rRNA from 1 species
UACGUAGGGUGCAAGCGUUGUCCGGAAUUAUUGGGCGUAAAGGGCUCGUAGGCGGUCCAUCGCGUCGGGAGUGAAAAGCUGGGGCUUAACCCCAGUCCUGCUUCCGAUACGGGUGGACUAGAGGUAGGUAGGGGAGAACGGAAUUCCUGGUGUAGCGGUGAAAUGCGUAGAUAUCCUGAGGAACACCGGUGGCGAAAGCGGCGCGCUGGACCCCUUCUGACGCUGAGGCGCGAAAGCCAGGGGAGCAAACGGG